CUUACAAACAGAGACUCGUGUUCAUCGUCAAAGAAAGGAAAUGGAAAUCCAAUAUUCACACGACCAGAACUACCAUCAUCAUUAGUCGGUACCGAGUUAUCUCCAUUCUCAGGUCCAUAAGGAUAGAAAUCUUUAAGUUCUAUACGCAUAUAAACAACUUGGAAAACAUUGAGAAAAACAGUAGCUAGAACAAGAAACUUCAUUGCUGUUCUCGAUCUGACCAUAUUUACAUGCAGGGAGUAAUUAAAUCUCUUCUUGGAAGUAAUCAGCAUAUGAAUAGGAGAA